rnacentral:rRNA from 1 species
UCCUUUUAAGGGUGACAUACAUGCAGUCGAGCGGACAGAAGGGAGCUUGCUCCCGGAUGUUAGCGGCGGACGGGUGAGUAACACGUGGGUAACCUGCCUGUAAGACUGGGAUAACUCCGGGAAACCGGAGCUAAUACCGGAUAGUUCCUUGAACCGCAUGGUUCAAGGAUGAAAGACGGUUUCGGCUGUCACUUACAGAUGGACCCGCGGCGCAUUAGCUAGUUGGUGAGGUAACGGCUCACCAAGGCGACGAUGCGUAGCCGACCUGAGAGGGUGAUCGGCCACACUGGGACUGAGACACGGCCCAGACUCCUACGGGAGGCAGCAGUAGGGAAUCUUCCGCAAUGGACGAAAGUCUGACGGAGCAACGCCGCGUGAGUGAUGAAGGUUUUCGGAUCGUAAAGCUCUGUUGUUAGGGAAGAACAAGUGCAAGAGUAACUGCUUGCACCUUGACGGUACCUAACCAGAAAGCCACGGCUAACUACGUGCCAGCAGCCGCGGUAAUACGUAGGUGGCAAGCGUUGUCCGGAAUUAUUGGGCGUAAAGGGCUCGCAGGCGGUUUCUUAAGUCUGAUGUGAAAGCCCCCGGCUCAACCGGGGAGGGUCAUUGGAAACUGGGAAACUUGAGUGCAGAAGAGGAGAGUGGAAUUCCACGUGUAGCGGUGAAAUGCGUAGAGAUGUGGAGGAACACCAAUGGCGAAGGCGACUCUCUGGUCUGUAACUGACGCUGAGGAGCGAAAGCGUGGGGAGCGAACAGGAUUAGAUACCCUGGUAGUCCACGCCGUAAACGAUGAGUGCUAAGUGUUUAGGGGGUUUCCGCCCCUUAGUGCUGCAGCUAACGCAUUAAGCACUCCGCCUGGGGGAGUACGGUCGCAAGACUGAAACUCAAGGAAUUUGACGGGGGCCCGCACAAGCGGUGGAGCAUGUGGUUUAAUUCGAAGCAACGCGAAGAACCUUACCAGGUCUUGACAUCCUCUGACAACCCUAGAGAUAGGGCUUUCCCUUCGGGGACAGAGUGACAGUGUGCAUGGUGUCGUCAGCUCGUGUCGUGAGAUGUUGGGUUAGUCUCGCACGAGCGCAACCCUUGAU